ACCUGGAGGAGUCUAGCACCCAUAGUCAGAGAUAACAUGGGGAUUGUUACACAUGAAGUCAGAGACACCAGGUACAGUUCCCUUCAGAGAUGCUCACCUCUCCCAUUAUAAUACAUCAACAAUUAGUGCCAGAGAAAAAUGAUCCUCAACACACCACAACUGGUCUCAGGUGAUCGAGGAGGAGGAGGAUGGAGCUGGGUGCACGAGAUCUGACACCUCCUUGCCAAUUCACUACAGAGAGACAGAGCAUAGUUUCUGCCUCUGGUUUUACAGAUUGGAAGUUCAUUUCCAGCAUGAUGUCCAUCAUGAUAGAAUGAUACCUCUACAAAAAAACUAAGAACUUUCAGGUGCUCAUAUUGUGGAACUUCUCUGUAUUAUUAUGUUCUUCCUGUUUCUUCUUUUGUUUUCAUUGAAGCAUAUUGUACC
rnacentral:lncRNA from 1 species